rfam:Medicago truncatula strain A17 chromosome 5, whole genome shotgun sequence.
CCCUUAACUAUUAAAAGUUUCGUUUUGGUCCCUUAACUUAUUUUUUGGUUUCGUUUUGGUCCUUGAACUUAUUUUUUGUUUCAUUUUGAUCCCUUAACUCUAAUACAUUCAUCCUAACAUAAAGGACCAAAGUGGUUGACGGAGGAUGAGUUAAGGGACCAAAACGAAACCAAAAAGUAAGUUAAUGGAUCAAAACGAAACCAAAAAGUAAGUUAAGGGACCAAAACGAAACUUUUAAUAGUUAAGGGA